rnacentral:lncRNA from 1 species
UUAGAGUUUUUGUUAUGGUUAAGUAACUCCUGCCAUCUAGCGUCAAUUCCAAUAACUGUUUGCAUGGUGGCAUGUGUCUAUUAAGGAGCAUAAUAAAAUCUCUAGAUUUUGAAUGCUAGAAAUAGUUAAUGGAAAAAGAGCACAUGCCAUCUUCUUUGUUUUUCAUCUCUAGCAGUUAGAGCCAAUUUUCCUGAUAGGUUCGCAGAAAUGAAACUUACCAAUCAGAGUGUAGUUUCUAAAAUUGCCUCCAAAUUUUCCAAAAUGUCUGACAUAGAUGUUGUGGUUAUCAAGUGUUGCGAAGAAAAAAGACAAUUAAACAGUAAAAGAAGGACAUGUCAUGAAAAUAAGUGGAAGAAUAAUGAAAGAAAAUGUCUGAGAAAUAGUGGACAGCAAUAUGAAAACAGAAUUAAGAAGAUUGUGCCAGCAAAGGAGACAUUAAUGAGGACUUAUACAAUAUGUAAAAUGUUAUAUAUGGGAUUAUUCUUUC